UAGAAGCGGCAUCGCGCCGUGAACUGUAGAUGCACCAGGCAACCAGGGAGGGUGUAAAUGUGCUGUGAUUUGCCGUGUGAAGGGUGAUGCCCUGUGGGACUUAUAGUUUUCUGUAAUAUCUUCCUGUCUGUGCUUCUUGGUGUUGCUAGCCUGGUGUGAUUCAAAAAGACAGUAUUCGCUGCUUGUUGACAUGAUAAAUUCUUGGACUAAAUAAAGCCGUGGUCCUGCUACGCCUGGCGGUGCUUUGCUGCUUCGAGAUUGCCCUUCUUUUGAUGGACCAUAUGUUCCUUUUCUUUCAGUCUCUUAGCUCUUUUUCUUUUGAGAGGUUCAGUUAAUUCUUUCCGGCCAUUAAGAGAACAUAGUUUCUGCUAACACAGUUUCUUUGAGAAAUAUUGUGUGAACACAGUUUUGUAGCGAGUGCCGCCUGAUGGGAAAAGAUAGUAGGCCGGCCACUGUGCAGCUCACUAAUGCAAUAGAGAAGUUUGAAUAUAAAUGUUAAAAAUAAUGCAAUAGAGAAAUUUGUAUAUAUAAAUUAAAAAUGCUCGUGUUCCUAGAAAUAAAUGUUCUUACAUGCAAAAAAAGUUGAUAUCAAUUAAAAAUUGUUCACCAUGAAUGGAAACUUUUUAUUCAUAUAUCUUUUGAAAAGUUCAUGUAUUUCAGAAAAAAUUGUUCGCGCGUGUUAGAAUAUAUCGUUCAUGAAACGUUUAUAAAAAUGUUCACAUAUGUCCCUCCAGAAAUACAAAAUAUAAAGAAGAAAAAGGAAAUACAGUUUUUUUUGAAAAACGGCAGGUUGUGAAAUAUAUUUAGGGAAAGUACUGAAUACAUCCUAAUACAACCCCAUGGUGCUUCUCUAAACAGUGAGUAAUAUACAAGAAUUAUUUCAAAACUUUUAAAAUGCCAAAAUGUUAUUUCCAAAAUUUGAAAAUGCUAUGAGCGCAUUGCUCAGGUAACCUUGCUUGCUGGUUUUCUUUUCUUUUCUGCUAAUGCCGGAAACACAGCAAUGAAGCUGCAUCGAAUAUGGAUAUAUCUCGGUGGAAUAAUACAUGCUUCGCCAUUUCUCCGAAGCUAACAAUUAUUCCUUUCUGUUGCCUUUUUGCCCCUUUUGGAAUGACUUACGAAAUACAUAUGUCUUAAUAGGAUAGAUACUACAGGACUCACCAUUUUCGUGAAGGAGACACCGGUUCCUUGUUGAUGUACUCCCUCCGUCCGGAAAUACUUGUCGCAAAAAUGGAUACAAAUGGAUGCAUCUAAAACUAAAAUACAUCUAGAUACAUUCAUUCCUCCGACAAGUAUUUCCGGACGGAGGGAGUACCUUGUUUCCAUUCUGAAUGAUUGUGUUUUCUCGCUUGCAAAACUAAUACUCCCUCCGUCCGAAAAUACUUGUUGAAGGAAUGGACGUAUCUAGACGUAUUUUAGUGUUAGAUACAUUCAUUUUUAGUCAUUUUUACGACAAGUAUUUCCGGACGGAGGGAGUAGAUGUCAAAAUGUUUUUUCAUUGUCAGGACAGUGAUUAGUUGAGUUGUGAAUGACUCCCUGCUGCAUAAAAAGUUGAAUCCAUCAUGUACAUAACCUAAACCUGAUAGCAAUCAGUUACAGUCGGGUUCUAAAAUCCUACUGAAGAUCCCAAGCACAGAGACAGUUCUAGCAUAAAAAAUUCUCCCUGACAUGCUUUAAGCUAAGGAUAAGAAGGUAAAUAAACUGCCCCAUAAUUUCCGGAUCAGAGUAGGUGGUCAAAUUAGGCGGCAGCAGCAACCAUAGCCGCCCGAGCAGUCGUGAAAGUCGAGAUCAGUGCCCCAAGCUGCAGUUUGUUGUUGCAGGCGAAGGUUAGCCGAUACCUGCACAGAAAUGAUGUCAAUAACGUUGCUGACUGUUUGAAGAGGCACUGCCAAAAGAAUUAUCUGACUUUUGGUCCCAGUAUUUUAGGAAUAGAACGAUUCAACAAGUCAAAAGGGGAAAAAAAUCGUAGCUCAUUCCUGAUGAAUAUUUCCAAGGAUCAUUUCAGAUCAUAUAAGGGCUCCAGUACAGUACAAAACCCAAAUAUUCCAGAUAGGCAAAGGUUUUCCUAUGUGCAAUUGCUUCGUUGAAACUACCACAUUUUUCACUUUCUGAAAAUCAACAUGUUGGACGUGUAGAGAACACACAUGCCAAGUUAACCAAAUACUCCCUCCGUCCCAAAAUUCUUUUCUUAGAUUUGUCUACAUACGGAUGUAUCUAAUACUAAAACAUGACUUGAUACAUCCGUAUUUAGACAAAUAUAAGACAAGAAUUUUGGGACGGAGGGAGUACAAAUUAUGCUUUGGAGUGUGGCACUGUUUCGGCAACAUGAUUUGUGUCACUUGUUGCUUUGCUUAGUUGACUAAAGUCUACAGCCUAAAGGAAUGACCAUACUCACCAAGCCAGCCUGGCCAUAACAUUACAGUUACUGAGCUAUGGUUAGUACUUCUUGUGUGAACUAAAAUGACUACCGGAAUGACACAAUAAGCAUAAAUCAUGUCAUCAGAACAAGUAAGGUAAUUUAACUUGUGAGAAGUGAGCACACAGUGUUACUGUUACAGUUAGGUGUCGCGAUUUGAGCAGAAUCAUCAGCAAAAUAUAUCUAAUCGAUGACAACUUUGGUUAAAAUUGAACUUUAAAAGUAUAAACACGACAUACUCAAUAUCUGCCAAAUCAUUAAUCAACUUUACUCGUACAUUGGAUGGCAUAUUAAUUUUGAACACAAACCUGCAAAAAAAAAUUGAAAUAAUUAAAAGGAGC
rnacentral:lncRNA from 1 species